rnacentral:rRNA from 1 species
GACGAGUGGUGGAUGGGUGAGUAACGCGUAUGCAACCUUCCUCACACCGAGAAAAAGUCGACUGAAAAGUUGAAUAAAGUCUCGUGAUGUACACGUCCCGCAUGAGAUGUGUAUGAUAGAAGCAAUUUGGUGUGAGAUGGGCAUGCGUAUCAUUAGCUAGUUGGUAGGGUAACGGCUUACCAAGGCGACGAUGAUUAGGGGGCCUGAGAGGGUGGUCCCCCACACUGGGACUGAGACACGGCCCAGACUCC